rnacentral:rRNA from 1 species
GUCGAGAGGUCCUGCGCCGAAAAUGUCCGGGGCUGAAACACGACACCGAAGCUUUGGAAUCACAUAGUGAUUGGUAGAGGAGCAUUCUUAAAACCGACGAAGCUGUACCGGAAGGAGCAGUGGAGGGAUAAGAAGAGAGAAUGCCGGAAUGAGUAGCGAGAGAAAGGUGGGAAUCCUUUCGGCCGAAUAUCUAAGGUUUCCAGAGUAAAGCUGAUCUGCUCUGGGUAAGUCGGGGCCUAAGCACAGGUCGCAAGACGUAAGCGAUGGAUAACAGGUUUAGAUUCCUGUACCACGCAUUAUCAGAACUGUAGGGACGCAUGUGGAAAGCACGAGCCGGGAAUGGAAAAACCGGUACAAGCGGGGUAGGUGUACAAUAGGCAAAUCCGUUGUAUAAUCCGAAGACGUGAUGUGGAGCGAAAUAAAGUAGCAAAGCGUGUGAGCCAUGUGCCGAGAAAAGCUGCUAUUGUGUAAUGCGUGCCCGUACCGUAAACCGACACAGGUGGAUGAGGAGAGAAUCCUAAGGCCGGCGGAAGAAGCAUUGUUAAGGAACUCGGCAAAAUGACCCCGUAACUUCGGGAGAAGGGGUGCCUCAGAGAUGUGGCCGCAGAGAAUAGGCUCAAGCAACUGUUUAGCAAAAACACAGGUCUAUGCGAAACCGAAAGGUGAAGUAUAUGGGCUGACGCCUGCCCGGUGCUGGAAGGUUAAGAGGAGAGGUUAGCGCAAGCGAAGCUUUGAAUUUAAGCCCCAGUAAACGGCGGCCGUAACUAUAACGGUCCUAAGGUAGCGAAAUUCCUUGUCGGGUAAGUUCCGACCCGCACGAAAGGCGUAAUGAUUUGAGCGCUGUCUCGACAAUGCAUCCGGUGAAAUUGAAGUACCAGUGAAGAUGCUGGUUACCCGCGCCAGGACGGAAAGACCCCAUGGAGCUUUACUCCAGUUUGAUACUGGGAUUCGGUACUGCAUGUACAGGAUAGGUGGGAGACGGAGAAGGAUGGACGCCAGUCUGUCCGGAGUCGCUGUUGGGAUACCACCCCUGUAGUACUGGGUUUCUAACCAGUUGCCAUGAACUGGCAAUGGGACAAUGUCAGGCGGGGAGUUUGACUGGGGCGGUCGCCUCCGAAAGGGUAUCGGAGGCGCUCAAAGGUUCCCUCAGAAUGGUUGGAAACCAUUCGAAGAGUGCAAAGGCAGAAGGGAGCUUGACUGCGACACCGACGGGUGGAGCAGGUACGAAAGUAGGACUUAGUGAUCCGGUGGUAUAAAGUGGGAUUGCCAUCGCUCAACGGAUAAAAGCUACCCUGGGGAUAACAGGCUUAUCACUCCCAAGAGUUCACAUCGACGGAGUGGUUUGGCACCUCGAUGUCGGCUCAUCGCAUCCUGGGGCUGUAGCAGGUCCCAAGGGUUGGGCUGUUCGCCCAUUAAAGCGGUACGCGAGCUGGGUUCAGAACGUCGUGAGACAGUUCGGUCCCUAUCCGGCGCGGGCGUAGGAUAUUUGAGAGGAGCUGUCCUUAGUACGAGAGGACCGGGGUGGACUGGCCUCUGGUGUAUCUGUUGAGCCAUCAAGCUCAUGGCAGAGUAGCCAAGCCGGGACGGGAUAAACGCUGAAGGCAUCUAAGCGUGAAGCCCCCCUCAAGAUGAGAUAUCCCUCCUUCGGGAGUAAGACCCCUUGAAGACUACAAGGUAGAUAGGGCAGAGGUGGAAGCAUGGCAACAUGUGGAGCUGACUGUUACUAAUAGGUCGAGGGCUUAAUCU